CCCAAAGCCCAGAAGGUCACGGCAAACCCUUCUCCCCUCAGCAGCUUCCUUUGCUGGAAGGCGUCCUCCACCGCGCCCCAGAAAACCAGCGCACGCCCUGGCCGUCGCCCACCCUCCUAGCAAGGCUCAGGCCCCGGCCUGGGAAUCAGUGGGGGGGCCUGCCUGACUCUGGGGUACUCUCAGUCUGCCCCUCUAACCCCCUCCCCCAACCAGAGCACCAGCCGCCUCCGCCCGGCCCCCUCCCCUGCUAAUAGAAAGCCCACCAUGGGGACAGAGUUUCAGCAACAGCCCAGCAGCUCUUCUCAUUUCCAAAAGCCUUACCGCGGUCUCCUCAGCAUCAUCCCCAUCACGGGAGGAGGAUCCGCCCAGAGCUGCAGUAGAGGACAAAAGGGCACCCGGGUCUUUGCUCCUUGGAGGAGAGACAGCUGGGCCAGAGAAGCGGAACCUAGCAGAAGUGUGGGCUGUGGACAGAGAAGCCGGGAGCCUGGGAGUCCUUCUUGCACAGGCCUGUACCAAACAGUGAGAGGCAACGGGUGCUCAGAAUCGAGUGUUGAUGGACUGCCAUGAUUUCCAUUUUUGCUCUUGCAAACAAUGCUACAAUCAUUGUCUUCAUGUUUCCUGGGGCACCUGUGCAAGUUCUCUACGAAAGACACCUUGGUGUAGAAUUCCUAGAUCACAGGAUAUUCACAUCUUCAACUACACAAAAAACGAUUUUCCAAUGUGCUUAAGGCAAUUUAUACUCCAGCCAGCAAUGUAAGAAUAUUUUUCUUGUUCCACAUCCUUAGUAUAUAAGAUGUGUUAGUUUUUGAAAAGAAAGCUAAUAUAAGUGCCACCCGAUUGUGAUAUUACUUACGUAGUGGGACACCUUUCCACGUUUAUUGACCAGUCCUAUUUCUUCUCUGUGAAAGGCUUGCUCAUAUGUUUUGCCCAUUUUCCUUUUUCUUAUUAAUUAACAGAAUUUUGUUAUAUGAUAUUAAUUCUUUAUUAGCUAAUAUGUUGCAACUAUUUUCUAACUAUUUGAGGCUUAUCUUUUUUCUUUACGGUGUCUUUUGAAAGAAAGAAGUUUUUCAUUACGAAGCAGUCAAAUGUACAAUCUAAUUUUUAUAAGGUAUUCCUCCUAUGACUAUUGUUUAAGGCAUUCUUUCCCACUCCCAAAAUUAAAAGGCAUUGUCUGUAUUUUUCACUAAACAUUUUAUAGCUUUCCUUUUUCAGUGGAA
rnacentral:lncRNA from 13 species